UGACUGUGGAUGUGCGGUUGGGUACAUUUUUGGAGGCAUUCGAUGAAUGUGUAGAGAUCGGUCGGCAAUUUGAGAUAGGUCCAACUCCUUCCUCUUUGGUGAACCUAUAAAUCUGUUAGAAACCGUAAGUUCUCGAAACCUUAAAUUAAUCUUGAAUCAUUUAUAUCUUUAUCACUUCAUUUAUAUGCU